rnacentral:lncRNA from 1 species
AUGGGUUUCCAAUUGUCCAUGAAGGGACCACGGAUUAGAAGGCAGCGUGUGACUAUCGCAGGGACUCGGAGGCAGUGUGUGUGCAGACUUGCCUGCUUUCUCAGCAGCCAUCCUUUCCUUAAGAAAGAAAGAUGUGUGACUCUUGAAGACUGCUGACAACCUAUAGAAAUCCAGCAAUCAAUUUAAGGGCAAUAACAGCCCAGAGUGAUGCUUUACAUGCCAGUCUCAAGGGUGCCUGGCUGCAUUAAUCAUGCUGAGCCGAGCUGCUAACACUGCAAAGGCCGCCGUGCUCCUCAAGCAAGAAAGUGGGCUCAGAGCAGUGGAAGCAUUCCCAUGGGCAUUUCUGGAAGCUCAGUGAAGGCUGGCAGGGGAGGGAGGCAUUUGUCAGCGUGGGAGAAGAGGCUGUGACAGCGGGUCCAUGCAAGGGCGGAUGGGAGAAGCUGCUCUGCCUGGGACCACCAGCUCUGCUGCUCCUCAUGCUUUGCAACAGGAACCUCAGCAAAGGAAGAGCUCUCCUCAAACCCUUUGAAUUUGCUCAUAUUGUGUGUGUGUGUGUGUGUGUUUAAAGCAAAUGCCCACAAAGUACUGAAAUUGCUUAAAGCAAGCGAAGAGCCUCCUGAUCCAGCUGUGAGUGCUGAAUAGCAGAAACCAGGCGCAUGUAGUGCGCACCUGGGGGCAGGCGCAUCCACCCACCUGUUUGCAAGAAUUCAGAAAUACAACUUGGUUGGAGGCAGGCUGAAGUGAGAGCUGUGAAGAGGAAAGCAAGCAAAGCAAUUUGUUCUGGCAAUGUCUAAAAUAGCAGCUAAUUGAGAGGCGGGUGACAUGCCUCCUCUGACUCUCGAGGGCUUGUUCCCAGGAAAUGGCCUGACACCCUCUGCACAGCUUAACCACCCUCCCUGGCAAGGCUCGAAAGGGAAAAAUUGGUUAUUAAUAGCAAUAUUACUGCAGUAAUGUUUGCCCCCUAAUUGCCUUUUGGAGAAUAAACACACAGUGAGGGAUUUCGUUUAUAAACUU